rnacentral:rRNA from 1 species
GGAUUGGGCGGCAGCUACACAUGCAAGUCGAGCGGUAGCACAGAGAGCUUGCUCUCGGGUGACGAGCGGCGGACGGGUGAGUAAUGUCUGGGAAACUGCCUGAUGGAGGGGGAUAACUACUGGAAACGGUAGCUAAUACCGCAUAAUGUCGCAAGACCAAAGUGGGGGACCUUCGGGCCUCAUGCCAUCAGAUGUGCCCAGAUGGGAUUAGCUAGUAGGUGGGGUAACGGCUCACCUAGGCGACGAUCCCUAGCUGGUCUGAGAGGAUGACCAGCCACACUGGAACUGAGACACGGUCCAGACUCCUUACGGGAGGCAGCAGUGGGGAAUAUUGCACAAUGGGCGCAAGCCUGAUGCAGCCAUGCCGCGUGUGUGAAGAAGGCCUUCGGGUUGUAAAGCACUUUCAGCGGGGAGGAAGGCGGUGAGGUUAAUAACCUCAUCGAUUGACGUUACCCGCAGAAGAAGCACCGGCUAACUCCGUGCCAGCAGCCGCGGUAAUACGGAGGGUGCAAGCGUUAAUCGGAAUUACUGGGCGUAAAGCGCACGCAGGCGGUCUGUCAAGUCGGAUGUGAAAUCCCCGGGCUCAACCUGGGAACUGCAUUCGAAACUGGCAGGCUAGAGUCUUGUAGAGGGGGGUAGAAUUCCAGGUGUAGCGGUGAAAUGCGUAGAGAUCUGGAGGAAUACCGGUGGCGAAGGCGGCCCCCUGGACAAAGACUGACGCUCAGGUGCGAAAGCGUGGGGAGCAAACAGGAUUAGAUACCCUGGUAGUCCACGCCGUAAACGAUGUCGAUUUGGAGGUUGUGCCCUUGAGGCGUGGCUUCCGGAGCUAACGCGUUAAAUCGACCGCCUGGGGAGUACGGCCGCAAGGUUAAAACUCAAAUGAAUUGACGGGGGCCCGCACAAGCGGUGGAGCAUGUGGUUUAAUUCGAUGCAACGCGAAGAACCUUACCUGGUCUUGACAUCCACAGAACUUACCAGAGAUGCAUUGGUGCCUUCGGGAACUGUGAGACAGGUGCUGCAUGGCUGUCGUCAGCUCGUGUUGUGAAAUGUUGGGUUAAGUCCCGCAACGAGCGCAACCCUUAUCCUUUGUUGCCAGCGGUUAGGCCGGGAACUCAAAGGAGACUGCCAGUGAUAAACUGGAGGAAGGUGGGGAUGACGUCAAGUCAUCAUGGCCCUUACGACCAGGGCUACACACGUGCUACAAUGGCAUAUACAAAGAGAAGCGACCUCGCGAGAGCAAGCGGACCUCAUAAAGUAUGUCGUAGUCCGGAUUGGAGUCUGCAACUCGACUCCAUGAAGUCGGAAUCGCUAGUAAUCGUAGAUCAGAAUGCUACGGUGAAUACGUUCCCGGGCCUUGUACACACCGCCCGUCACACCAUGGGAGUGGGUUGCAAAAGAAGUAGGUAGCUUAACCUUCGGGAGGGCGCUACCACUUUGAUCAGCUG